rnacentral:misc_RNA from 1 species
AAGUCGUAACAAGGUUUCCGUAGGUGAACCUGCGGAAGGAUCAUUACCAGAAAGUACGCCGGGCGAAAGCCCGCAAGUACCUCAACCCUUUCCGUGUACCGUUACCAUGUUGCCUUCCGUGAGGUCGAUGGGGGGCUUGAGGGUGGGGGGGAACCCCCACCAGCUCCUUUGAGGCGCGAGGUCACACAUGUGUGCGUGUGCGGCCGAACCUCAAGCCCACGGAGGGGCUACAACCCGAACCCUUUUGCUUCGAAAAACCUGUAGCUUGUCUGAGCUUGCAAAAUGAAAACAAUAAAGUCAAAACUUUCAACAACGGAUCUCUUGGUUCCC